rnacentral:rRNA from 1 species
GGGUUGUGAGGUUAAGCGACUAAGCGUACACGGUGGAUGCCCUGGCAGUCAGAGGCGAUGAAGGACGUGCUAAUCUGCGUAAAGCGUCGGUAAGGUGAUAUGAACCGCUACAGCCGACGAUGUCCGAAUGGGGAAACCCGGUGCACUCUGUGCAUCAUCGCAACAUGAAUACAUAGUGUUGCGAGGCGAACCUGGGGAACUGAAACAUCUAAGUACCCAGAGGAAAAGAAAUCAACCGAGAUUCCCCCAGUAGCGGCGAGCGAACGGGGAACAGCCCAGAACCUGAAUCAGUUUGUGCAUUAGUGGAAGCGUCUGGAAAGUCGCAGGGUACAGGGUGAUACUCCCGUACACAAAAAUGCACUUACUGUGAGUUCGAAGAGUAGGGCGGGACACGUGGUAUCCUGUCUGAAUAUGGGGGGACCAUCCUCCAAGGCUAAAUACUCCUGACUGACCGAUAGUGAACCAGUACCGUGAGGGAAAGGCGAAAAGAACCCCGGCGAGGGGAGUGAAACAGAACCUGAAACCGUGUACGUACAAGCAGUGGGAGCCUGAUUUGUCAGGUGACUGCGUACCUUUUGUAUAAUGGGUCAGCGACUUAUAUUCUGUAGCAAGGUUAACCGUAUAGGGGAGCCGCAGGGAAACCGAGUCUUAACUGGGCGUUAAGUUGCAGGGUAUAGACCCGAAACCCGGUGAUCUAGCCAUGGGCAGGUUGAAGGUUGGGUAACACUAACUGGAGGACCGAACCGACUAAUGUUGAAAAAUUAGCGGAUGACUUGUGGCUGGGGGUGAAAGGCCAAUCAAACCGGGAGAUAGCUGGUUCUCCCCGAAAGCUAUUUAGGUAGCGCCUCGUGAACUCAUCUUCGGGGGUAGAGCACUGUUUCGGCUAGGGGGCCAUCCCGGCUUACCAACCCGAUGCAAACUGCGAAUACCGAAGAAUGUUAUCACGGGAGACACACGGCGGGUGCUAACGUCCGUCGUGAAGAGGGAAACAACCCAGACCGCCAGCUAAGGUCCCAAAGUCAUGGUUAAGUGGGAAACGAUGUGGGAAGGCACAGACAGCCAGGAUGUUGGCUUAGAAGCAGCCAUCAUUUAAAGAAAGCGUAAUAGCUCACUGGUCGAGUCGGCCUGCGCGGAAGAUGUAACGGGGCUAAACCAUGCACCGAAGCUGCGGCAGCGACGCUUAGGCGUUGUUGGGUAGGGGAGCGUUCUGUAAGCCGUUGAAGGUGAACUGUGAGGUUUGCUGGAGGUAUCAGAAGUGCGAAUGCUGACAUAAGUAACGAUAAAGCGGGUGAAAAGCCCGCUCGCCGGAAGACCAAGGGUUCCUGUUCAACGUUAAUCGGAGCAGGGUGAGUCGACCCCUAAGGCGAGGCUGAAAAGCGUAGUCGAUGGGAAGCAGGUUAAUAUUCCUGCACUUGGUGUUACUGCGAAGGGGGGACGGAGAAGGCUACGUUAUCCGGGCGACGGUUGUCCCGGUUUAAGCAUGUAGGCGGAGAGUUUAGGUAAAUCCGGACUC